UACAUGGGGUGCAAACGUUGCUCGGAAUUAUUGGGCGUAAAGGGCUCGUAGGCGGUUUGUCGCGUCGGGAGUGAAAACACGGGGCUUAACCCCGUGCCUGCUUCCGAUACGGGCAGACUAGAGGUAUGCAGGGGAGAACGGAAUUCCUGGUGUAGCGGUGAAAUGCGCAGAUAUCAGGAGGAACACCGGUGGCGAAGGCGGUUCUCUGGGCAUUACCUGACGCUGAGGAGCGAAAGUGUGGGGAGCGAACAGG
rnacentral:rRNA from 1 species